rnacentral:rRNA from 2 species
CAGCCGCCGCGGUAAAACCAGCACCUCAAGUGGUCAGGAUGAUUAUUGGGCCUAAAGCAUCCGUAGCCGGCUCUGUAAGUUUUCGGUUAAAUCUGUAUGCUCAACAUACAGGCUGCCGGGAAUACUGCAGAGCUAGGGAGUGGGAGAGGUAGACGGUACUCGGUAGGAAGGGGUAAAAUCCUUUGAUCUAUUGAUGACCACCUGUGGCGAAGGCGGUCUACCAGAGCACGUCCGACGGUGAGGGAUGAAAGCUGGGGGAGCAAACCGGAUUAGAUACCCGGGUAGUCCCAGCUGUAAACUAUGCAAACUCAGUGAUGCAUUGGCUUGUGGCCAAUGCAGUGCUGCAGGGAAGCCGUUAAGUUUGCCGCCUGGGAAGUACGUACGCAAGUAUGAAACUUAAAGGAAUUGGCGGGGGAGCAC